CUCACCUUGUUGAAAUCUUCCUGUGUGGACCUUCGAUCUUGUGAUGCAGAUUUGUCCUUAACCCAUGGUAAGAAGAACAAAGUUCUGAGCUCUGGGAAGCAGUAAGUGCAGAAAUUAGCUGUUCCUGGUUGGCUACAGAUACAAUACAAACAGGAAAAUGGGGGAACUUCUCUUGGUUAUAAGCAAUGGUGCUAAUAAACACUGCUAGAAGAAUGAUCUCCUGCUUCUCUCUUCAGUACAGCAGAGAUGCUGCGAUGAAAAAUGGAAUAGCACUUUGGUGCAGAAUCUGUGGAAAUGGUGUGAUGCUAUGAAAUGCUGAAUUUGUAGCACUACUACUCUCGCUACCAGUACAAUAAAUAUUGGCAGGUUUCAAUGCACUGUAGCAUGCAAACAUAUCCGCACCCACACAGAAGUCAGGACCACGAGAGCUGCUAACUUCCCUGGGGGUUGUGCUGAAUGAGUAACUAGAUGGCAAAAGCAGUUGCAUAUGUGCCCUCAGAGGUAAUCUUAAGGACAAGGGAGGUGAGAUUCACCUUCCUGCUACCGGGAUGCAGAGAAAAAUGAUGGAAUGGGCUGAACCCUUGGAAGAUAUCCCCACCAUCCAUCUUCAGAGGAAGAUGUGAACUUCUCCAGGAGAGAGGAACCAGUGCACUGCAAGCUUCCAAAAAGAGAACCCUGUAAGAAAUCUGUACAUCUUGUGCUCUGGAUGAGAAUGCUUUUUCCAUCUCCUUGGAAGUAAUCCUGACACUCCUGUUUCAUGUUAUCAGCAUGGUGGUAGAUGUCUCCAAAGGUUUUCUGUAACGUCAGGGUCUUAGGAUGCUGCUUGGCGACUUGGUCAAGUUCACACAACUUAAUGUGCAGGAGGAUGUUUCUGAAAAUUCUGUCAGUCUAACAUUUUAUUAUAAAUGAGUGGUACUGCAGACUUUGUUAAACACACAACCCAUUCCAUAUUUAAUACCUUCAGAAUUAAUAACUGAUUCAGUUUGGAGCAUGAUGAAUGCCCAUGUCAAAGUCUAAUCAUAUCUGGCUUUUUUUUCCCAGCAUAUUCCAGAGACAAAACAUUCUUUUAUGACUCUCCUAGUCUAUGCAUUUUUAAAAACACAGAAUAAAAUGUCUUGGCAGCAGUCCAGUCAC